rnacentral:rRNA from 1 species
UAGGGAAUCUUCCACAAUGGACGAAAGUCUGAUGGAGCAACGCCGCGUGAGUGAAGAAGGGUUUCGGCUCGUAAAGCACUGUUGUAUGGGAAGAACAGCUAGAAUAGGAAAUGAUUUUAGUUUGACGGUACCAUACCAGAAAGGGACGGCUAAAUACGUGCCAG